GCGGGCGGGCGCGCGCGCGCGCGCGCGCGCACGAGAGACAGAGUGACUGACGGGCGCCUGCAGGGCGCUCGGGCGCGAAGCCGAGGGGCGCGUAGCGGGCGGCGAGGGCGGCCGGCCCGGCACGCGAGCCUGUGAGAGGGUUCGGCCGAGUUCUCUUUGUGAACCCGCCUCCGGGCGGCGCGGCCCGUCGAAGGCGGCCUCCCGUGGCGCGAGAGAACCUUCCAGAGCCUCCCAGAACCUUCACGUUCCUGAGGCGCCACGUGCUGCCGCGGUUCCCACGGCGCAGCCUCCGGGAGCGGCCCGGGAAGCAGGUAAGAUACUCGCUCUGGCUUCCUGCCGCCCGUGGGUCUUUGCCCUGGACGGUCCCCCAAGAUGUGUCUGCCCGCUUUUCUUCCAGUCGGCUGAAUGCUGCAUUCUCCACAGUGUUGCCUCAGGCAGCUCCACGGAGAUGGCCCUGAGCUGGGCUGCGGGGCUGUGGGUUCAGGGCCCGUAUCCCACCCGAUGCCGGUCCGGCCAGCCCAGGCUGCGGCUGUCGGGUAUUUGCCAGUGUUUCCACCUCGCGCCCCUCGGCCCGAGGCCAUCUCCUGCGUCCAGCUGCUCUCGCGGCCGGUUAACGGCUACGCCGUCUGCAGACGCUUGCCAUCGAGGGAGACCCCGUGACCCCAAGGGGAAAUAGACACUGGUCACGGUUCAGGAUUCUGCUGGGCGGGACAGCCAGUCCCCGCAGAGCCCGCAGGGGGAAGGAGCGGGUGCAAGGCCGGGAGCUGACCCCCCUUCUCCCUAGAGAGCCCUCAAGUACCCAGACGCAAGAGGGUGCGACCGUGACCGCCGUCGGCAGAGAGCUGUUACCAGCCCUUGUCCAGAGGGUGGAAAGGAAAGUGUCCCCUAUUGUCUCCCCAAAAUGACACACAAAACGGGGACAAAGAGAGCCUGCCUGGCUGGAAGGGCUCUCGGCCCCCGAUUUCCACAGUGGCCCUGGGGACAGCAGACAACAGGCAGGGACAGCAGAAAACGUGGGACGACAGCCCGCUUUGUGCACCACCGGCUGGCCGCGAGAGAGGCUGAGGCUUUCUGCAGCCGUGUCCAUCCAAUUUCAGGAGAACCGGAACCGUGGGAGGGUUCAGCGGGCCCAUUGUGCCCCUGCCCUGCCCCCCCCCACACCCCCCAGGACUCCUGGGGCCCGGCAUCCCCGCAGGCAGUCAGCACAGCUUUUUGGGAAAAGGUCCUGCUGAGCACUGGGCCCUGGAACUGGGACGGGUCAGAGCUGGGGCCUAAGGCAGCUCGGAGACGGUGGCCCCACAGUGAGUGCCCCGGGGCUGGAUGUGGGGCCCUCGGCUUGCCCCUUGUCACUCGUUCCAUCCCACCCUCCUGACUUCCACCCCCUGACCCCACCGCGGCCUCCCUCCCCAACAGGGACACCCGUCUGCCGUCCUGUCAGUGCCAGGAUGGAGAAGGUUCUCCCUGCUUCCCGUGGGUGACCAUGUGGAGGGUUUGUUGGGGUUUUCCGGGUUUUGGUCUUAAGACUUUACUAUAGUUUGCAGGGGAAAAUUUCCAGAAGGGCAAGGAAGGCAGCACUGUGCUUGGAGCCAAAGAAAACACACUCAGAACAAGACACAGCGUUUCUUGCCUGUAGGAGGAGUGGGCAGGCGGCCCUCCGGCCUGGGGGGCUGCCUGGGCGAGGGACAGGUUGGAUAGCCGCCUGGCACCUACCCCCCGCCGCCCGUCCCUCUGCCUCUGAGCGCUCGGCACGUGGGGCGGUCCCGGGGCCCCCGGGAAAGCAGGGUCCCGAGAGACGGUGGCGGCACCACGUGAGCCCCACGCCUCCAACACCCCCCAGAGAAGCACACGCAGGGCGGCCGGCCUGGCUGGAGCCGGACGAGAGCCCGGGCCCGGGGAGAGGAGCCCCGGGGAGAGGGAGGCGGAGCUCGGGCAGCUAACGCUGACCACUGACCUGCGGAGGAGGAGGACGCCAGCCCGACGGCAGUCACGGGAGCUUGGGGUAGCAGCCUGCCUUCGGGGACUUUUAAGUCAGCCACCGCGGACAGGAGAUCACCUCCGGCCUGGCCAACCGCGGGGCUCCGUUCCUCCAGGAGGUGACGUCUGUCCAGAGCCGGGCGCCGGGGGCAGGGGGGCAGGGCUGCGAAGGCAGACCGCGGCCCAGCGGGGAGGACAGGACAGGUAAUUUCCACGCCCAACGUGGGGCUCAAACUCACAACCCCGGGAUCAAGAGUUAUGCGCUCCACUGACUGAGCCAGCCUGGCGCCCUGAACAACAUUUUUUUUUUAACUCCGAAAUGGACAAAGGAGGAAGGAAGAGACACCAGGAGACGCGGCCCCACAGUGGACCGAUGUCAGCAUCCCGUGAGCGUCCUCAGGGAGUUUGUGUUUUUAUGUGAAUGGGAUCAUUUUUUUUUUUCGUGCUGCUGAAGGUUUUUUUGUUUUUGUUUUUUUUUACUCUUUCUUUAGAAAUGACCACAGGUUCACGGGCACUCGCAAAGGGCGGACAGGGAAGCCCCUACACCCGGCACCCCCUCCGUCCACGCUGACGCCUAGUGUGGGGCCGGCACGGGGUGGCCGGAGCUCUGAGCCGCUGUGCCGCGUGUCCGUGUAUGUGCCCGGCACCCCGUCAGGAUACGGAGCGUUCCCGUCACCGCGGAGAACCCCCCCCAGCUGACCCGUUGCCACCCCUCACCGCCGGGCCCCACGGAUGUGCCGUCCGUGUCCAUGAGUCUGUCAGUCAUCGUGAGAAUGUUCUCUCCCCGCCUUUGGAGAUGCGCUUCUCCCGUGGAGCACAAGCCCCGAGGGCCCACCCGGCUCUUGCCCCUCCGCAGUGUGGCCUUUGUCUCGCCAGGCGGUUUUCCGCGGCGUGCGGGUGCCGGCUGGCUUACUGAGGGGCCCCUGGGUCGGUGCCCGUCAGGGGCCGUCGUGUUUGUGCGCGGGCUCUGAGCGGAUACAAAAGUCUCACUUCUCUGGGGUGAGUGCCAGGGACGAAUCGGGCAGUUGCCGGGUCACGGCCUGUUUCCCAUGCCGUCUGAUGGGCCGUUUCUUCCCUUCGUCCCCGGAUACGGACGUGCGUUCUCCUUUAGAGCGGCCCCUCGGGAUCCCUCCACGUGAAAGUGCCAUCCCGAAGGUGAGCGCGGGCUGUUCUGGCUGCCGGCGGGGACACGGGCGCUGGACGCACAUCCUCGAAGGGGGUGACUCCUGGAUGACGUGUUCCCAGAAGUGGAGUCGCUGGGCCUCGGGGAACACGCACACGUUGACGCGCAUGCCACGAGCCCUCCAGUGCAUUUAAACUUUCUUUUCUGUUGCAUGUUUUUUUUUGUUGUUUUUUGGGUUUUUUUGCAAACUGAGAUAUAAUGGACACACGACACCAUACUAGUCUCAGGCACACAACACAAUGACUUGGUGUUCGUGUACGUGGCCAACAGAUGUCAGCGGGCCUGGUCAGCGCCCGUCACCACGCACAGGUGCACGCCGUCUUCUCCGGGCCGUGCUCUCUUAGCAGCUUUCGAAUUCACAAUACAGUCUCAUUACCUAUCCCGCACGUGACAGGUGACCUCCUCACUUUGUAACUGCAAGUCUGCACCUGUCGAGCCCCGUCACCCGUUUCCCGCGCCCCUGCCUCUGGCAUCCGCCAGUCUGUUCUCUGUGCCCCCUGAGCUCGGUUUCUGUUUCAGAUUCCACGCAGGAGUGAGAUCACACAGGGUUUGUCUUCCUCCGCCCGGCUUCCUUGACGCGGCAUAAUUUAAACUUUUUACAAUAGAUUAUACGGACCGUUAGUAAAAAGUUACGCUUUAUAUCGGCGUGGGGCUCACCUAUAUAAGUGUGAAGGAUGAAUACACGCUGUGACCGGCUUAAAGCUUCAUCAGCCACACGGCCACCCCUUCCCGGAAAAACAAAACGGAACACAAACGCCAUCUCCCUUCGGGUGAGCUCUUCGGUUGCCAGUGCCGAAGGCCCCUUCCCGCUCAUCCCACUGCUGUUAAGAGCUGCAUUUUCACACUCUGCUCUUUUUUUUUUUUUUUUUUUUUUUUUUUUUUUUUUUGCUUGGUCCUUGAUGAUUUACAAGAGGUGUUCUCAAUUCAGGAUAUUCACCGUGCACCUGUAUGUGUAAUUGGUUUUAAACAUGUCGAUCGAUGGUCAGAUCGCGGACGGUUUCUGCCUAUGGUUUCUGGCUUCUAGAGCGCGGUUACAAACGAUUCUCUCACCCCAGGAUUAAAAAAAUAUCCCUAUGUGGAAUUUCUUCUAGGACGUUAUGGUUCAAGAAUGACCCUGGCCCGUGUUUUCUAAGUGAGCUUUUUAUUUCCAAAUGAUUUGCUCCCCCCGCCCCACGUCCACACCUGACCUUCCCUCCAGGAAGUGGCCCCGGCACACCGCUAGGUCUGGAGCCCUGGGCUCAGGUUCAGAAAGGCCGCGUCUCUGCCGUUUCUCUGCUCAGCCCCAGCGACUCCCGCUCCGUAGCAACCCUUGCAUCCGAGUAAGCCACAGAGGUCUGUUCCCACUCCAUGGGGGAGGCGAGGAAGUUCGUGGUGGUCGUUCUCUACUUUCCUCCUCGCCCCCACACACCUGAUGGCACCUGAAAAGACCCGGAUCCCAAACGUGUUCCAGGACAAUGGCAGUGCGCUUGGUUUCUACCCCUCGUGCAGCCAGGGACCCGCCCGGCUGGUCCUGCCGGGCUCCCUCGGGGUCCUCGGACUCGGCCUGCCUGUGUCAUACAGAAAUCCCAGCCUUAGGAAGUGGAUUUCACCCAUUUCCCCGGUAACGUCUUCUGUCUGCUCCCGGAUCCCGUCCAGGAUUUCACGUUGUAUUCUGUCGUCCUGCCUGCCCAGGCUCCUCUGGCCAGAACUUCUUGUCAUCUAAGAAUCUGCUUGGGGACGCCUGGAUGGCUCGGUCAGUUAAGCGACCAACUCUUGAUAUCGGCUCUGGUCGUGAUCUCUCAGUAUCGAGUUUGAGCCCCACGUUGGGCCUGCUUGGGAUUCUCUCUCUCGGCCGCUCCCCCUCUCAUCCUGUCACUCGCUGUCUCUAAAUAAAUAAACAUUUAAAUAAAAAAGAAUUUGCUUGACUCUUUUCUCCCACUGGCAUUUACAUGAAUUACUUCUAAUCUCUAGAAGGUGGGUUUUCUCAUCCCUCAGUGUUGUGGGUUCAGUUGUGUCCCCCAGAGACAAAGGUCCCCCCCACAUGUCCCAACCCUCGGAACCUGUGAAUGGGGCCUUAUUUGCAAAUAGGGUCUUUGCAGAUGUAAUUAGUUAAGAUGGGGUCACACUGGAGCAGGGUGGGCCUGAAUCUGAUGAUUGUGUCCUCAUAGGAGGGGAACUGGACACAGACGCACAGAGAAGCCACGUAUCAGCGGAGACGAGGGUUGGAGUGACGUGUCCACAAGCCAAGGGGUGCCUGGGAUGGCCAGGAAACCACCAGACGCUGGGAGAGGAUCGUCCCCUGGAGGCUUCAGAGGGAGGGCGAGCCUGUGACACCCUGAUUUUGAACUUUUGGCCUCCAGAACUGGGUGGGAACAAAUUUCUGUUGUUUGAAGCCACUCUGUGCGGUCAUUUGCCGUGGUAGCCGUGGGAAGCUCACACACUCGGUCACUCGGACCUGGUGCAGAGCACCAGCAGGGCCACAGGCUCGGGGACACAGGUCAGCCACGUCGUACAGGAGGCACCGUCCCAAACAUUGCUUCGGAGCUGGCCCCGACAGGGAGCUCCCACGCGGGCAUCUCUCCAAAUGGGCUGUCCCGCAGAGGGUCAUACCCGCUGGGGUCGGUGCCCAUGCCCACAUUUAUGGCGAAAGUAGUAGGUACAGGCCCAGCAAGCAAACGUAGGAUCCCUUCUGUAAUAACAGCACGGCAGCAAGGCUGGCACGGGAGCCGGUGCCCAGUGGAGAAACUUGACCUUGUGUGCAGCUGGGGACAACAUGCAGUGGGGAGGACUGUGCAAAACAGCCGGCAGCUGCUCAAAAGUUACCCACGGAAUCACCGCGCGACCGGCGACUCAGAUCCUGGGCGUGCACCCGGGGAAUGGAAAACAGGGGCUGAGACAGACACCUGCACCCCCGCGUUCACGGCAGCAUGAUUCACCACGGCCGAAAGGUGGAAACACCCCAGGGUCCCUCCGUGGAUGAAGGACAAACACAAUGUGUCCAUCCCCACGCUGGAAUGUGACCCGGCCCCAGGGAGGAAGGACGUCCUGCCACCUGCCACCGCGUGGAGGGACCCGGAGGCCACUGUGCGCGGUGACAGGAGCCAGACACAGAAGGACACGCCCCGCGCGACCCCACUCACAGGGGGUCCCCAGAGGAGUCCCGUCCACAGAGCCAGAGAAUAGACGGUGGGAGCCAGGGGUGGGGCAGGGGCUGGGAGUCCCUGCUUCCUGGGGACAGGGUCUCGGUCUGGGGAGAUGGAAAGUUCUGGAGACGGGUGCUGGGGGCGGCGGCACGACGGCGUGAGCGUGCUUCAUGCUGCUGAGCUGUAACAGUUAUGAUGUCAAAUAGAAAAAAUGGCAAAAGGGAGCAGUUGGUGCUCAACCCAGGGUCCCAGGGUUGGGCUGGCUGCUCCCCGGGGCUGAGGCCUCCUGGUGUCGCCGUCCAUGCAGGUGGCCAACUCGGACACCAGUUAAACACACACCUAUCUCAUUCUCUUGUCUCGUCCUAUUGGCCACGUGCAGAAUCCCAGGAGCUAUGGAGACAGCAGGAAGGCAAACCCUGGGUGACAUGAUGCUCCGUGCUGUCCCGACACCAAGGCCGCAUGACAGCGGCGACACCGGGCCUCUGGAACUUUCGGGGAACGACCCGAGUCUGCCCGCAAGCUGCAGAGAGGCCACAGAACAUUUGGAAACAUACCUGGCUCCCUAGGGAUCUGGGCCCGCAUGCCUGGCCUCUUCCUGCUCUGCCUGGGGACCCUCCCUGCCCCAAAAAAGACUCGUCCGUGUUAUAAACCCUGGAAACUGAUUUUGGGCUUACUUCUUUUUUUAAAAAAAUUUUUUUAAUGUUUAUUUAUUUUUGAGAGAGAGAACAUAAGCAGGGAGGGAGACACAGAAUCUGAGGCAGACUCCAGGCUCCGGGCUGUCAGCGCAGAGCCCGACAUGGGGCUCGAACUCACGAACCAGGAGACCAUGACCUGAGCCCAAGUCAGACUAGUCAGACUUGAGCUUACUUAUAAAAAAAGGUUUUUUGCAGAUGUCAUUAAGGAUCUCAAGAAGAGAUCAUCCUGAUCAGGGUAGGUCCCAAACCCAGUGACAAGUGUUUUUCUAAGAGGCAGGAGAAGGGCACUUGACAAUGGAGGCAGAGAUUGGAGGGUCAGGCCUCCAGCCAAGGAACAAUGGGACCCCAGGAGCUGGAAGAGGCAGGAAGAGCCUUCCCCUGGAGCCUCGGAGGAGACGUGGCCCACCGACGUGAUUCCCGGGAACCAGGCACAAGGCCCAGCACACGGGAGGAGCUCGUGAAGCCUCUGAAAACCCACUGCGGGUCUGCCUUAAUCUGCUUGCUGACCCACCGGCCACGGCCACGGCCACGGCCAUGGCCAGCCUGACUGGAAGGCCCCCAGGGCAGCCUGGGGCAAUGGGUGACCCAGACACCUGUGGCCACAAACACCAUCUGGGGCCCUCCGCCUUCCCCGGGGCUCCCAGUUCACCCAGAUGGCGAGUCCCUGGGAACCCUGUCCCAACACAAGUUUUCAAAAAAGUUACCUUUUUAUAACGACACACGGGCAUGUCCCUCGGCCGCGAGCAGGAGUGAGGCGUCCAACACCCGCCACCCCGCGGACGGACCCCGAGCACACGACGCCCAGGGAGGGAACGCGUGUGUGAAACGUCCAGAACAGGCCCAUCCACGGACGGGAAGGGGCUCGUGGGGGCCAGAGACUGGAGAAGGUGGGGGCUGGGAGUGACUGGUGAUGGGGACGGAGUUUCCUUUGGGGGUGAUGGAAUGUUCCAGAAUUGGAUAGAGGUGAUGGUUGCACAGCUCUGUGAAUGUACUAAUUGCCACUGAAUUGUACAUAUAAAAAUGGUUAGCUGUA